UAAUAAAAUACUCCUUAUACUGCCACAUAGCAUGUUUUUACACCAUUCUUUUGCCAAAUGGCGUUUUUCUAGACCUCCAUAAUUGUACUUUCCCGCCCAACAUCAUUAACGCUCUAUAACCUAACUAAAAAAUCAAAUUUGAAAUCUAAAUAAUUUUGGUUUUCUAAUCAGUAAUUUCAGACCUGAUUUUUUGGGAUUUAUAUCAAUUGUCCUGCAUUUAUUUAGGAAACAACUCAUUCAACCCAUUUAAAUUAAUGUUAUUUAAAAUCAACAAUAAAUCUUCUUCUUCCCAUUACUAUUAUCGCACCUCCACAAAUUUCAGCCUAAUCUCCUUUUAUCUGUCUAAUAACCCACCGUUUCCCUCAUCUCAAGUCUCAAUCCAGAUUUUCAAAAACUUUGGUCAGUGUAUCGUCGUUCUACUCUGCUGCCAAUUCUGUUCUCUCGGGCCAUACAUUGGCUCUGUCUUAUGGUUAUAGAUAGGGCUUAUUCGAAUAAGCUAGGGUUCGUCAGCCCCUUACUCAAUUUCUCUGUCGGUUUGCGAUGGUUGUUCACCAUCUGUCGGUUUGAUGUGAUUUUUGUGUUUGCAGUUUGCGAAUUGAAAGGUGAGGUGAAGUGGCUACAGGUUCUUGCUUACGGGUAACAUGAUUUACUUUGAGAUGUUUAUAUUGUGUUUUCCAUGGAACUUAUUUAGGUGUAUUUUAAGUUUUAGUUGGGAAUUUGCUCAUCUUUUGUAAUUGAUGAUGCAUGGAUGUUGGCUACAAUUCAUGGAGAAUAUAAGUUCAAACUUAUGGUUUACACAAGAUGGUUAUAAGAUUCCAAAAGAUUUCCUUCUGAAAUUCAUGGGAUUACAAUUCCAAAAGAUUUCUACGCUUGCUAUUGCGAAAACAUAAGCAUAUGGACAUCCUUAUUCACUGGUUAAUUUUUGUGGACGCUUUAUCUUUUUAAGGAACAUGACACUUAACACCCCUUCUAAGUGGCCUCUAAAAUGAUCGUCUCUUUUUCCUCGACGUUGUAGUUGAAGCAUGUAAUAUUCAAUGUUUUUUUUAUUCAAUGAUUUUUUUAUUUUAAUCUAUAUGUUACUGUCUUCUUUUGAUUUUUGAAUUGUUAGUGUUGAACAUCUGUCAUCGAAACAAUUUUUUGUGUUUCAAUUUUAUUUUAUUUUGAUGUUGUUAA